UACGAACUGUGCGAACGUUAUUCGGAAUCACUGGGCUUACAGGGUACGUAGGCGGCUUGUUAAGUAGGGUGUGAAAGCCCCCGGCUCAACCGGGGAAUUGCGCCCUAAACUGGCGAGCUGGAGUGAGAUAGGGGUGUGUGGAACUUCCGGUGGAGCGGUGAAAUGUGUUGAUAUCGGAAGGAACGCCGGUGGCGAAAGCGACACACUGGAUCUUGUCUGACGCUGAGGCACGAAAGCCAGGGGAGCGAACGGG
rnacentral:rRNA from 1 species